rnacentral:rRNA from 1 species
CCUACGGGUGGCAGCAGUGAGGAAUAUUGGUCAAUGGACGAGAGUCUGAACCAGCCAAGUAGCGUGAAGGAUGACUGCCCUAUGGGCUGCAAACUUCUUUUAUAAAGGAAUAAAACGAUUCACGUGUGCCUUUUUGCAUGUACUUUAUGAAUAAGGAUCGGCUAACUCCGUGCCAGCAGCCGCGGUAAUACGGAGGAUCCGAGCGUUAUCCGGAUUGAAUGGGUUUAAAGGGAGCGUAGAUGGGUUGUUAAGUCAGUUGUGAAAGUUUGCGGCUCAACCGUAAAAUUGCAAUUGAUACUGGCAGUCUUGAGUACAGUAGAGGUAGGCGGAAUUCGUGGUGUAGCGGUGAAAUGCUUAGAUAUCACGAAGAACCCCGAUGGCGAAGGCAGCUUACUGGACUGUAACUGACAUUGAGGCUCGAAAGUGUGGGUAUCAAACAGGAUUAGAUACCCCAGUAGUC